CGGGGAGUAGCGCAGCUCGGUAGCGCACCUGACUGGGGGUCAGGUGGUCGGGGGUUCAAAUCCCCCCUCCCCGACCA
rnacentral:tRNA from 1 species